UAUAAUCCAGCCUGUUAAGGUGCUCCCGAAUUUUCGGGAGAUAAUCGGGAAUCCCGUGCUCUAAUUUUUUAGAAAAUCGGGAGCUGCCCCGCAACUGUAAGCCCAAAUAAUAGAUCCAAGCAUAUCGCCACUGUUACCACGGGAAGGCGCUUGGGAUUCGGGCAAGCCAGGAGACCGGCCUUAACAGGAUAUUUACC
rnacentral:ncRNA from 2 species